AGCAUUGUGGUUUAAUUCGACGCUACGCGAAGAACCUUACCUGGGCUUGAACUGCUGGAGGUAGGAGCCCGAAAGGGUGACGACCCGGAGCAAUCCGGGAACCAGCAGAGGUGCUGCAUGGCUGUCGUCAGCUCGUGUCGCGAGAUGUUGGGUUAAGUCCCCGCAACGAGCGCAACCCUUGCCAUUAGUUGCUACGAAAGGGCACUCUAAUGGGACUGCCGGUGACAAACCGGAGGAAGGUGGGGAUGACGUCAAGUCCUCAUGGCCCUUAUAGGUGGGGCUACACACGUCAUACAAUGGCCGGUACAGAGGGUAGGCCAACCCGCGAGGGGGAGCCAAUCCCACAAAGCCGGUCGUAGUCCGGAUCGCAGUCUGCAACUCGACUGCGUGAAGUCGGAAUCGCUAGUAAUCGCGGAUCAGCAUGUCGCGGUGAAUACGUUCCCGGGUCUU
rnacentral:rRNA from 1 species